UUAAUCCAUUUAACUAUUUAACCCAUCAAAUUAAAUGAGUUCAUGGGUUGACUCAACUCAUUUGCUAAUGUGUUGAGUCAACUCAUGAACUCAUUUAACUCUAAAAUUAUUGGGUAAUAUGU